rnacentral:rRNA from 1 species
GGCCUUACCCUUAGGAAGGAUGCUCCGAGGGGUGGUUAGCGAUUGGGGGAAGUGGUACCAAGGUAUCCGUCGGGAACGUGCGGAAUGGAUCACCUCCUU